rnacentral:rRNA from 1 species
UACGAAGGGACCUAGCGUAGUUCGGAAUUACUGGGCUUAAAGAGUUCGUAGGUGGUUGAAAAAGUUGGUGGUGAAAUCCCAGAGCUUAACUCUGGAACUGCCAUCAAAACUUUUCAGCUAGAGUAUGAUAGAGGAAAGCAGAAUUUCUAGUGUAGAGGUGAAAUUCGUAGAUAUUAGAAAGAAUACCAAUUGCGAAGGCAGCUUUCUGGAUCAUUACUGACACUGAGGAACGAAAGCAUGGGUAGCGAAGAGGAUUAGAUACCCUCGUAGUCCAUGCCGUAAACGAUGUGUGUUAGACGUUGGAAAUUUAUUUUCAGUGUCGCAGCGAAAGCGAUAAACACACCGCCUGGGGAGUACGACCGCAAGGUUAAAACUCAAAUGAAUUGACGGGGACCCGCACAAGUAGUGGAGCAUGUGGUUUAAUUCGAAGAUACGCGCAGAACCUUACCAACACUUGACAUGUUCGUCGCGACUCUAAGAGAUUAGAGUUUUCGGUUCGGCCGGACGAAACACAGGUGCUGCAUGGCUGUCGUCAGCUCGUGUCGUGAGAUGUUGGGUUAAGUCCCGCAACGAGCGCAACCCUCACUUUUAGUUGCCAUCAUUAAGUUGGGCACUCUAAUAGAACUGCCAGUGAUAAGCUGGAGGAAGGUGGGGAUGACGUCAAGUCCUCAUGGCCCUUACGUGUUGGGCUACACACGUGCUACAAUGGUAUCUACAACAGGAAGCAAGACUGCGAAGUUAAGCAAAUCCUUAAAAGAUACCUCAGUUCGGAUUGCACUCUGCAACUCGAGUGCAUGAAGCUGGAAUUACUAGUAAUCGUGGAUCAGCGUGCCACGGUGAAUGCGUUCCCGGGUCU